rnacentral:rRNA from 1 species
AUUGAACGCUGGCGGCAGGCCUAACACAUGCAAGUCGAGCGGAUGAGGGAAGCUUGCUUCCCGAUUUAGCGGCGGACGGGUGAGUAAUGCCUAGGAAUCUGCCUAUUAGUGGGGGAUAACGUUCCGAAAGGAACGCUAAUACCGCAUACGUCCUACGUGAGAAAGUGGGGGAUCUUCGGACCUCACGCUAAUAGUUGAGCAUAGGUCGGAUUAGCUAGUUGGUGGGGUAACGGCUCACCAAGGCGACGAUCCGUAGCUGGUCUGAGAGGAUGAUCAGCCACACUGGAACUGAGACACGGUCCAGACUCCUACGGGAGGCAGCAGUGGGGAAUAUUGGACAAUGGGCGAAAGCCUGAUCCAGCCAUGCCGCGUGUGUGAAGAAGGUCUUCGGAUUGUAAAGCACUUUAAGUUGGGAGGAAGAGUUGUAAGCUAAUAUCUUGCAGCUUUGACGUUACCAACAGAAUAAGCACCGGCUAACUCUGUGCCAGCCGCCGCAGUAA